rnacentral:rRNA from 1 species
UACGUAGGGCGCAAGCGUUAUCCGGAAUUAUUGGGCGUAAAGAGCUCGUAGGCGGUUUGUCGCGUCUGCCGUGAAAGUCCGGGGCUCAACUCCGGAUCUGCGGUGGGUACGGGCAGACUAGAGUGAUGUAGGGGAGACUGGAAUUCCUGGUGUAGCGGUGAAAUGCGCAGAUAUCAGGAGGAACACCGAUGGCGAAGGCAGGUCUCUGGGCGUUAACUGACGCUGAGGAGCGAAAGCAUGGGGAGCGAACAGG